rnacentral:rRNA from 1 species
AACGAACGCUGGCGGCAGGCCUAACACAUGCAAGUCGAGCGCCCCGCAAGGGGAGCGGCGGACGGGUGAGUAACGCGUGGGAACGUACCCUUUGCUACGGAAUAGCCUCGGGAAACUGGGAGUAAUACCGUAUGUGCCCUUCGGGGGAAAGAUUUAUCGGCAAAGGAUCGGCCCGCGUUGGAUUAGGUAGUUGGUGGGGUAAUGGCCUACCAAGCCGACGAUCCAUAGCUGGUUUGAGAGGAUGAUCAGCCACACUGGGACUGAGACACGGCCCAGACUCCUACGGGAGACAGCAGUGGGGAAUCUUAGACAAUGGGCGCAAGCCUGAUCUAGCCAUGCCGCGUGAGCGAUGAAGGCCUUAGGGUUGUAAAGCUCUUUCAGUGGGGAAGAUAAUGACUGUACCCACAGAAGAAGCCCCGGCUAACUCCGUG